UACGAAGGGGGCUAGCGUUGUUCGGAAUCACUGGGCGUAAAGCGUACGUAGGCGGAUGAAUAAGUCAGGGGUGAAAGCCUGGAGCUCAACUCCAGAACAGCCCUUGAUACUGUUUGUCUUGAGUCCGGGAGAGGUGAGUGGAACUGCUAGUGUAGAGGUGAAAUUCGUAGAUAUUAGCAAGCACACCAGUGGCGAAGGCGGCUCACUGGCCCGGUACUGACGCUGAUGUAAGAAAGCUUUGAGAGCAAACAGG
rnacentral:rRNA from 1 species